GCAUAUAUACUUACCUUGUACAGCAUAUUAAAAAAUAUAUAUAAAGAGCCAUCUUCAAGAGAAUGGCACGGCAACUUUUUGAAACAAAAUUAUUAUUUUAUUUUUUUCUAUUAUUUUUGUCAUGGUAUCAGAGCCUUCGUUUUGUAAUUUUUGAGGCAAAAUUGAGUUCUGUUCCUUGGAUAUCAAAACAGAGUAUUUCGAUCUAGUUUUUGGUUCUGUUGAUCUAAGUGUUGUUGGUUGGGUUUUUCAAUUUUUUCUGCUGGUGAGCAUCGCAUCUUUGGGAUCAAAUAUUCAAGCUACCUUGUUGUGUUCUCCUUCUCGGGUACGUGGUGUUUUCUUUUCUUGAUUCAUUAUUUGUUUUGAUAAUGGCAGAAAAAUAUGAUAUUUUGCCUGUUAAAUUAAAUGGGAAAAAUUAUUUUUCUUGGGAAUUUCAAUUUCGAAUGUUUGUGAAAGGAAAGAAUUUGUGGGGACAUUUAGAUGGAUCUGUUUCUAAGCCUAAAGAUGAAUCUGAUAUUGGUAAAAUCACUCAAUGAAAUUCAAAUGAUGCUCAAGUAAUCAGUUGGAUUUUGGGAUCUGUAGAAUCUCAGAUUGUCCUUAGCUUAAGAUCUUUUCAUUUUGCUAAAGAUAUGUGGGAUUUUUUGAAGAAAAUUUAUCAUCAGGACAAUUCGGCUAGACGUUUUCAGCUUGAAUUAGAAUUGUCUGAGUACUGUCAAGGUAAUUUAUCCAUACAGGACUAUUAUUCUGGCUUUCUAAAUUUGUGGGCUGAAUAUAAAGAACUAGUUUAUGCGUCUGUACCUCCUGAGGGCUUACCAAUUUUGCAACAAGUUCAUGAAGUGUCUCAACGGGAUCAAUUUCUUAUGAAGCUGCGACGUGAAUAUGAACCAAUUCGUGUCAAUUUGAUGUCUCGAAUUCCUUCUCCAUCACUUGAAACAUGUUUUGCUGAACUUUUUCGUGAAGAGCAACGGUGUGUCACUCAAAGUGUGCUUGAAAAUAAGAAUCAUCAGAGAGCUAAUCCAAUGGAGAUUGCUUAUGCAACUCAAGCCAAGGUACGAGAUAUGAGCAAAGUGCAAUGUUAUAGCUGCAAAGAGUAUGGGCAUAUAGCUAAUUACUGUAAGAAAAACUUUUGCAACUAUUGUAAAAAGUCUGGUCACUUGAUUGCUGAAUGUCGUCGUAGACCUCAAAAUCGAACCUCCCAAGCUUUGCAUGUGUCUCACAGCUCUUCCACACCUGGAUUUGAUUCUGGAUCUAUAUCUAGCUCAGGAAUGACCAAUAUAACUCCUGAAGUUGUGCAACAACUCAUUUAUUCAGCUCUCUCAACUCUUGGCAUUUCAGGUACUGCUACUCAUUCUCAUGUUUGCUACAUUGACUCUGGUGCCUCUAAUCAUAUGGUUUCUUCUCCAAAAUCUCUUGUUAAUGUGAAACCAUCUCUUGGUAAUUUGGAAAUCCAAACAGCAAAUGGAGACAAACUUCCAGUUAAAGCAAUUGGUGAUAUUCCACAUUCUCUGCCAUUAAAUAAUGUGUUUCUUGUACCUCAUUUGACUUCCAACCUUUUAUCUGUGGGACAAUUAGUUGAUGAGAAUUGCAAGGUUUCUUUUUCACCAUCUGGUUGUAUUGUGCAGGAUCAGAGAACAGGGAAGGUGAUCGGGAUGGGACCUAAAUGUGGAAGACUAUUUCCUCUACGCUUAUCUGUCUAUCCUGAUAAUAAAUCUUUAUUUUCUUUGUUUAGUCCUGUUUCUUUAAGUCAGGUAUGGCAUAAACGUUUGGGCCAUCCUAAUUCUAGAACUUUAUUAACCUUGUUAAAGAGUGGUUUAUUUUUGAAUAAGAGUUCGAUUACUUCUUUGGAUUUAUCAUUUGCUUGUGAUAGUUGUAAACUUGGCAAAAGUAAGACUCUUCCUUUUCCUAUUCAUCAAAACAAUGGUACAAAAUGCUUUGAUUUAAUUCAUACUGAUGUUUGGGGUAAAUCCCCAUUUCCUUCUCAUUCUCAUCACAAAUAUUUUGUAUCAUUUAUUGAUGACUAUAGUCGUCAUACAUGGCUUUAUUUUUUGCAUUCUAAAUCAGAGGUGUUUGAAGUCUUUAAGAGUUUUUUGGCAUAUGUUAAAAAUCAAUUUUCCACUUCUAUCAAAAUCUUGCGUUCUGAUUUUGGUGGUGAAUAUAUGUCUGAUGCUUUUAAAGUUUUUCUUCAAAGUGAGGGUAUUCUUUUUCAAAAAUCUUGCCCCGAUACUCCUCAACAAAAUGGAGUAGCUGAGCGGAAAAAUCGUCAUCUUUUGGAUGUUACUAGAACUUUACUUCUUGAUGCAUCAGUUCCAUUGCAUUUUUGGGUUGAAGCUUUGUCUACAUCUGUUCAUUUGAUUAAUCGUUUGCCAUCUCCUGUUCUUGAUAAUGAAACCCCAUAUUUUCGUUUAUAUAGCAACAAUCCUGAUUACAAUCACUUGCGUGUGUUUGGAUGUCUUUGUUAUGCUCAUCUUCCUUCAUCUGAUAGAAAUAAAUUGACUGCUCAAUCUGCAAGAUGUGCAUUUCUUGGCUAUGCCUCUGAUCGAAAAGGUUAUCUUUGUUAUGAUCCUCUUGCUCGUCGUAUUCGUAUAUCUCGGAAUGUAGUAUUUGUUGAGAAUAUCUAUUUUUUUCAACAUGUGUCUGAUUCUUCUACUUCUUCAUCUUCUUAUCUUCCUAAUUUUGAUCAACUUGAGAAUGUAAGGUUUAAUACUGGGAUAGAUGAUCAGCACCGAGAAAAUAGUUAAGACACUGAAGGUUCUUCUCGCAAUCCUAUUCCUGCUUCUGAUCCUCCUAUUGAACAAGCUAUUGCAGGUUCGCAAUCAUGGCCACUUUUUCAGAUGGAUGUCAAAAAUGCAUUUUUACAUGGAGAUCUUCAAGAAGAGGUUUAUAUGCGACUUCCACCUGGGGUACUGAUCCUGGUGGAAUUAAGGAAUUACAAGCUUCUUUACAUUCUUCAUUUCACAUGAAAGAUCUUGGAAUUCUUACUUAUUUCCUUGGACUUGAAGUACAUCAUUCUGAUCGAGGUAUUUUUGUCAACCAGCACAAG